CUGUCAUACAAACACACUCAAACACAUACCUUGACGUGAUUGGUCCAUGCCGGCACACCUGAUGCUCACAGAGAAGAAUAUUUGGAUCUGUGCUGCUCUUCAUAUAGUACUGGACAUAUCAUUUACUGAGAAAUAAAGAGCUCUUAAAUUCCCCGGGGCUGGACUUCAUACAGAACAGCAAGAAGAACAGUCAUCGGUGGAUAGAGAUUGCCGUUGAACUACAGACCGUAGAUAACCUUGGGCUAGCAGAGACUACUAUGGAGUCAGCACAGAAUAAAGCUCAACCAACCUCUCCUCAUAAACAGACAGUGAAGAACAGGUCCAAGUCAACAGAUGAGAUUCAACAAGCCAAAAAGGCUUUUCACACGACACAGAAAUCGUUGCCAGGGAAGCCGGAGACUGAGAAUAAGGAGCCCCCAGAGAGUCCAUCCUCAUCAGAAGAACUGAAAUGAAGGGGCAGACAGCGCCAGGCAGAGAGUCAGAGUCAUGGGCUACAUCAAUCAUUCCUCUGGAAAUCUAUUCAGUUUUCUGCAGUUUGUAUUCUCAUAACGAAAAAAGGCUGUACAUUUUUUGUAAACGUCUUAUGAAUGUGGUUGUUUACUAAAUAAGAAAAAGUGUAAAAUGCAUUGUUUGUGAGAAUAUAAUGUUCAAAGAAUGACGAGAGACUUACUCUACAAAACACAGACACUUAACAGAAAGCUGUAAUUCAGUGAGUGGAAAACAUGUGCAUGUGCCAGUUGGGAUGUGUGUAAGUAUGAGGUAUAGUGAAUUUGUUAUGUACACUCUCCUAAAACAUUUAGUUUUUUGGAACUGAUGUCAGAAUUAAUGUCUGUAUGCCACUUUGAAAAUGUGAAGCAAUUGAACGUGUAAAUAAAACUUGUGUAUGUCAAAAAAAUGGGUUAUUUCAAUCCCAAUACCACA
rnacentral:lncRNA from 1 species